rnacentral:rRNA from 1 species
AAGCCUGGGAAACUGGGUCUAAUACCGGAUAUGACUCCUCAUCGCAUGGUGGGGGGUGGAAAGCUUUAUUGUGGUUUUGGAUGGACUCGCGGCCUAUCAGCUUGUUGGUGAGGUAAUGGCUCACCAAGGCGACGACGGGUAGCCGGCCUGAGAGGGUGACCGGCCACACUGGGACUGAGACACGGCCCAGACUCCUACGGGAGGCAGCAGUGGGGAAUAUUGCACAAUGGGCGAAAGCCUGAUGCAGCGACGCCGCGUGAGGGAUGACGGCCUUCGGGUUGUAAACCUCUUUCAGUAGGGAAGAAGCGAAAGUGACGGUACCUGCAGAAGAAGCGCCGGCUAACUACGUGCCAGCAGCCGCGGUAAUACGUAGGGCGCAAGCGUUAUCCGGAAUUAUUGGGCGUAAAGAGCUCGUAGGCGGUUUGUCGCGUCUGCCGUGAAAGUCCGGGGCUCAACUCCGGAUCUGCGGUGGGUACGGGCAGACUAGAGUGAUGUAGGGGAGACUGGAAUUCCUGGUGUAGCGGUGAAAUGCGCAGAUAUC